rnacentral:rRNA from 1 species
GUGAGGAAUCUUCCACAAUGGGCGAAAGCCUGAUGGAGCAACGCCGCGUGCAGGAUGAAGGCCUUCGGGUCGUAAACUGCUUUUAUAAGUGAAGAAUAUGACGGUAACUUAUGAAUAAGCACCGGCUAACUACGUGCCAGCAGCCGCGGUCAUACGUAGGGUGCAAGCAUUAUCCGGAGUGACUGGGCGUAAAGAGUUGCGUAGGUGGUUUGUUAAGUAGGUAGUGAAAUCUGGCGGCUCAACCGUACAGGCUAUUACCUAAACUGGCAAACUCGAGAAUGGUAGAGGUAACUGGAAUUUCUUGUGUAGGAGUGAAAUCCGUAGAUAUAAGAAGGAACACCAAUGGCGUAGGCAGGUUACUGGACCAUUUCUGACACUGAGGCACGAAAGCGUGGGGAGCGAACGGGAUUAGAAACCCGAGUAGUCC